GGGGGGGGGGGGGGGGGGGCCGGGGGGGGGCGGGGCGGGCGGGGGGGGGGGGGGGGCGGGCGGGUGCGGGUGGCGGGGGGCGGGGGGGUGAGGCGUGCAUAGGCAGCCACUAUGUCGGGGGGGAGCACGGGGGGCCGGAGCCGCUAACGGCGCAUACGACGUACGGGAGGGGGCAGGGGAGCAUCGCGCCUUGCGCGACUGCAUGAGCCGAUGUCGGAUUAGCUAGUUGGCGGGGUAAAGGCCCACCAAGGCGACGAUCCGUAGCUGAGCUGAGAGGAUGAUCGGCCACACUGGAACUGAGACACGGUCCAGACUCCUACGGGAGGCAGCAGUGGGGAAUCUUGGACAAUGGGCGCAAGCCUGAUCCAGCCACGCCGCGUGGGUGAAGAAGGCCUUCGGGUCGUAAAGCCCUUUUGUUGGGGAAGAAAAGCAGCGGGUUUAUCCCCCGCUGUUCUGACGGUACCCAAAGAAUAAGCCCCGGCUAACUUCGUG
rnacentral:rRNA from 1 species